rnacentral:ncRNA from 1 species
AAGAGUUUGAUUCUUGCUUAUUUAUUAAUUGAUUAAAUGGUUUUAUAUGCUUAUUUUUUAUAAAUUUUUUAUUUAGCAGUAAUUAAUAUUAUUAUUUAUUUUUAUUUUUUAUGAAGUUAUUUAAUAAUAAAUAGAUAAAUAUUGUGCCAGCAUUCGCGGUUAAACAGUAUAUUUAAUUUAAUAUUUUUGGUUGUGAAAAUUUUAUUAAAAUUGAUUUUAAGUUUUUUCUAUUUAGGUGGAAUUUAUAUUAUUUUUAUUUUUCUAUGUUUAAAAUUUACGAAAUCUUUUAAUUAAACUAGGAUUAGAUACCCUAUUAUUUUAGAUUUAAAUAUUAUUAACCAGAAUACUAAUAGUUUAUUUUCUAUAAAACUCAAAGAAUUUGGCGGUGAUUUAUCUUUUCAGAGGAAUCUGUAAUAUAAUUGAUAAACCACGAUAGAUUUUACCUUUAUUUAUACUUGUAUAUCUCUAUAUUAAAGGAAUAUUUUGAUAGGAUAUUUUCUUUUUCUUUAAAAGAUUUAUAUUAGGUCAAGGUGCAGUUUUAAAAAGGUUAUUAUGGAUUACUUUAAUUAAUUUAUAAUUAGGAUUUAAAAUAAAUUAUUUUGAUAAAAAAGGAUUUGAUAGUAAUUUUAAUAAAUUUAUUAUUGUGAAUAAAGUUCUAGAUUGUGUACAUAUCGCCCGUCACUCCUAAUUAAUAUUUGGAUAAGUCGUAACAUAGUAGUUGUACCGGAAGGUGUAGCUAGAAUUAAAAUU